CAGGUCUAUAUUCUUACUUACUGAGGCACUAUGCUAGUGACACUGCAAUGAAUGACUGCAUCCUCCUCUCAGAGCUCACAGCUUAGAGACCUUGUGUUAAGUGUGAUGACCUGGAAGUACAAAAAGCCUUGCCUUUCAUAGAAGACAUGAUUGCUUUAAGAGAGUCCCAACCAGAGAAGAGGACGGUGGAGGAGGGAAGAGGGGAAGGUACAACUGAACAGAGGCUUUGAUUGUGAGGCUCCAGCCAGACCCACGCUUCCUCCUGCCUUCCUGCCUCAACCCUCCCCGGUGGACCCCUCACCAGAUGAAGGUCUGUUAGCUGAGCUGGGGGAUGAUGACUCAGAGGAACGGGGCUGACUUUCAGGCAAGGCCUGAGUUUGGUUUUAAUUAUGCUGCGCUGUGUGCAUGAACUAAAAUUGCGGGAUGAUGUGAAAGAAAAAUAAAUCUAAUGAGA
rnacentral:lncRNA from 10 species